rnacentral:rRNA from 1 species
AUUGAACGCUGGCGGCAGGCCUAACACAUGCAAGUCGAACGAGUGGCGGACGGGUGAGUAAUGUCUGGGAAACUGACCGAUGGAGGGGGAUAACUACGGGAAACGGUAGCUAAUACUGCAUACCACCAGAGGUGCCCCGAUGGGAUUAGCUAGUAGGUGGGGUAACGGCCCACCAAGGCGACGAUCCCUAGCUGGACUGAGAGGAUGACCAGCCACACUGGAACUGGGACACGGUCCAGACUCCUACGUGAGGCAGCAGUGGGGAAUAUUGCACAAUGGGCGCAAGCCUGAUGCAGCCAUGCCGCGUGUAUGAAGAAGGCCUUCGGGUUGUAAAGUACUUUAAGCGGGGAGGCGUUACCCGCAGAAGAAGCACCGGCUAACUCCGUGCCAGCAGCCGCGGUAAUAC